rnacentral:rRNA from 1 species
UACGUAGGGGGCAAGCGUUGUCCGGAUUUACUGGGCGUAAAGCGCACGUAGGCGGAUUGUUAAGUCAGGGGUGAAAUCCUGGAGCUCAACUCCAGAACUGCCUUUGAUACUGGCAAUCUAGAGUCCGGAAGAGGUAAGUGGAACUCCUAGUGUAGAGGUGGAAUUCGUAGAUAUUAGGAAGAACACCAGUGGCGAAGGCGGCUUACUGGUCCGGUACUGACGCUGAGGUGCGAAAGCGUGGGGAGCAAACAGG